AUUGAACGCUGGCGGCAGGCCUAACACAUGCAAGUCGAACGAGUGGCGGACGGGUGCGUAAUGUCUGGGAAACUGCCUGAUGGAGGGGGAUAACUACUGGAAACGGUAGCUAAUACCGCAUACCAUCGGAUGUGCCCAGAUGGGAUUAGCUAGUAGGUGGGGUAACGGCGCACCUAGGCGACGAUCCCUAGCUGGUCUGAGAGGAUGACAAGCCACACUGGAACUGAGGCACGGUCCAGACACCUACGGGAGGCAGCAGAGUGGAAUAUUGCACAAGGGGCGCAAGCCUGAUACAGCCAUACCGCGUGUAUGAAGAAGGCCUUCGGGUUGUAAAGUACUUUCAGCGGGGAGGCGUUACCCGCAGAAGAAGCACCGGCUAACUCCGUGCCAGCAGCCGCGGUAAUAC
rnacentral:rRNA from 1 species